GGACGAACGCUGGCGGCGUGCUUAACACAUGCAAGUCGAACGGUGACGAGGAGCUUGCUCCUCCGAUCAGUGGCGAACGGGUGAGUAACACGUGAGCAACCUGCCCCUCACUCUGGGAUAACAGUUGGAAACAGCUGCUAAUACCGGAUACGACACAGACAGGCAUCUGUACUGUGUGGAAAGUUCUUCGGUGAGGGAUGGGCUCGCGGCCUAUCAGUUUGUUGGUGGGGUAAUGGCCUACCAAGACGACGACGGGUAGCCGGCCUGAGAGGGCGACCGGCCACACUGGGACUGAGACACGGCCCAGACUCCUACGGGAGGCAGCAGUGGGGAAUAUUGCACAAUGGGCGAAAGCCUGAUGCAGCGACGCCGCGUGAGGGAUGACGGCCUUCGGGUUGUAAACCUCUUUCAGCAGGGAAGAAGCGAAAGUGACAGUACCUGCAGAAGAAGCACCGGCUAACUACGUGCCAGCAGCCGCGGUAAUACGUAGGGUGCGAGCGUUGUCCGGAAUUAUUGGGCGUAAAGAGCUUGUAGGCGGUUUGUCGCGUCUGCUGUGAAAAUCCGGGACUCAAUUCCGGACUUGCAGUGGGUACGGGCAGACUAGAGUACGGUAGGGGAGACUGGAAUUCCUGGUGUAGCGGUGAAAUGCGCAGAUAUCAGGAGGAACACCGAUGGCGAAGGCAGGUCUCUGGGCCGUAACUGACGCUGAGAAGCGAAAGCAUGGGGAGCGAACAGGAUUAGAUACCCUGGUAGUCCAUGCCGUAAACGUUGGGCGCUAGGUGUGGGGCUCAUUCCACGAGCUCUGUGCCGCAGCUAACGCAUUAAGCGCCCCGCCUGGGGAGUACGGCCGCAAGGCUAAAACUUAAAGGAAUUGACGGGUCCCCGCACAAGCAGCGGAGCGUGUGGUUUAAUUCGAUGCUCCGCGAAGAACCUUACCUGGGUUUGACAUAACAGUGGUAGAGAAGUGAAAACGGACCGACCCUUCGGGGAGCUGUUACAGGUGUUGCAUGGCUGUCGUCAGCUCGUGUCGUGAGAUGUUCGGUUAAGUCCGCUAACGAGCGCAACCCGCGCUGUGUGUUACAAGUGUCACACAGUACCGCCGGUAUUAAGUCGGAGGAAGGUGCGGAUGACGUCAAGUCAGCAUGACCUUUAUAUCCAGGGCUACACACACGCUACAAUGGUCAGCACAAUAGGUUGCCAAGCCGCAAGGCGGAGCCAAUCCUCCAAAGCUGGCCUCAGUUCAGAUUGCAGGCUGCAACUCGCCUGCAUGAAGUCGGAGUUGCUAGUAACCGCAGGUCAGAAUACUGCGGUGAAUACGUUCCCGGGGAU
rnacentral:rRNA from 1 species